GAACGGUAGAGGGGGCAACCCCUUGAGAGUGGCGAACGGGUGAGUAAUAUAUCGGAACGUGCCCAGUCGUGGGGGAUAACGUAGUGAAAAUUACGCUAAUACCGCAUACGAUCUAAGGAUGAAAGCGGGGGAUCGCAAGACCUCGCGCGACUGGAGCGGCCGAUAUCAGAUUAGGUAGUUGGUGAGGUAAAGGCUCACCAAGCCAACGAUCUGUAGCUGGUCUGAGAGGACGACCAGCCACACUGGAACUGAGACACGGUCCAGACUCCUACGGGAGGCAGCAGUGGGGAAUUUUGGACAAUGGACGCAAGUCUGAUCCAGCCAUUCCGCGUGCAGGAUGAAGGCCCUCGGGUUGUAAACUGCUUUUGUACGGAACGAAAAGGUCUCUCCUAAUACGAGGGGCUCAUGACGGUACCGUAAGAAUAAGCACCGGCUAACUACGUGCCAGCAGCCGCGGUAAUACGUAGGGUGCAAGCGUUAAUCGGAAUUACUGGGCGUAAAGCGUGCGCAGGCGGUUAUGUAAGACAGAGGUGAAAUCCCCGGGCUCAACCUGGGAACUGCCUUUGUGACUGCAUAGCUAGAGUACGGUAGAGGGGGAUGGAAUUCCGCGUGUAGCAGUGAAAUGCGUAGAUAUGCGGAGGAACACCGAUGGCGAAGGCAAUCCCCUGGACCUGUACUGACGCUCAUGCACGAAAGCGUGGGGAGCAAACAGGAUUAGAUACCCUG
rnacentral:rRNA from 1 species